UACAGAGGGUGCAAGCGUUGUUCGGAAUCACUGGGCUUAAAGGGCGCGUAGGCGGGUGCUCAAGUCCGGGGUGAAAUCCUCCAGCUCAACUGGAGAACUGCCUCGGAUACUGGGUGCCUCGAGUGUGGUAGGGGUGUGCGGAACUAUCGGUGGAGCGGUGAAAUGCGUUGAUAUCGAUAGGAACUCCGGUGGCGAAGGCGGCACACUGGACCACAACUGACGCUGAGGCGCGAAAGCCAGGGGAGCAAACGGG
rnacentral:rRNA from 1 species